AGGCGAUUAGUCCAAGACAAGACAUUUGAUUUCGGCUCAAAAGAUCGUGGUUUAAAUCCACAAUCGCCUU
rnacentral:tRNA from 1 species